GACGAACGCUGGCGGCGUGCUUAACACAUGCAAGUCGAACGGAAAGGCCCUGCUUGCAGGGUACCCGAGUGGCGAACGGGUGAGUAACACGUGGGUGAUCUGCCCUGCACUUCGGGAUAAGCCUGGGAAACUGGGUCUAAUACCGGAUAGGAGCCAUUUUUAGUGUGAUGGUUGGAAAGUUUUUUCGGUGUAGGAUGAGCUCGCGGCCUAUCAGCUUGUUGGUGGGGUAAUGGCCUACCAAGGCGGCGACGGGUAGCCGGCCUGAGAGGGUGGACGGCCACAUUGGGACUGAGAUACGGCCCAGACUCCUACGGGAGGCAGCAGUGGGGAAUAUUGCACAAUGGGCGCAAGCCUGAUGCAGCGACGCCGCGUGGGGGAUGACGGCCUUCGGGUUGUAAACUCCUUUCGCUAGGGACGAAGCUUUUUGUGACGGUACCUAGAUAAGAAGCACCGGCUAACUACGUG
rnacentral:rRNA from 1 species